CCCCCGGGUUUUAUAUAUUGAGAAACGAAAGAGAGAAGGAUUUCCUUUGGGGCAGGAAAAGACAGAUGCAUGGGGGUGGUCAGAUCGAUGUUGAGAUGUGGGGUUAAAAGUCCCAAAGAGCGCAACCCCUUUCUUUUGUUGUCAGCAGGUAAAGUUGGGCACUCUAGGGAGACUGCCGGGGACAAACCGGAGGAAGGUGGGGAUGACGUCAAAUCAUCAUGCCCCUUAUGUCCUGGGCUACACACGUAUUACAAUGGCGGGUACAAAGGGAAGCGAAGUCGCGAGGGGGAGCAAAUCCCAAAAAACCGUUCCCAGUUCGGAUUGCAGGCUGCAACUCGCCUGCAUGAAGUCGGAAUCGCUAGGAAUCGCAGAUCA
rnacentral:rRNA from 1 species